AAACCUGAUGAAUGUAGAACUAAACCUUUUUGCCAAGGUGUCCCCUAGUGCUCAACAUUAUUUUUAGACUGUCUUGUUUUUGACUGAGUUUUCUUUCACCAGUGAUUAUGUGUUCCUAUUCUUGGGCCAUUAUAUGUCCAUGCAUGUGUGCCCAAGCCUGCUUCUAACUCUUCAUAAGUCCCCUGGGUUUAGAAGCAAUCUCUUCUCUUUUCUGCUUCUCCAUUUGUUUCCAUAAGAGAGCAUCUUACUUAGGAUCCCUGAAUGCUUAACUAGUUCAAUGGG
rnacentral:lncRNA from 1 species